rnacentral:rRNA from 1 species
AUUAAUUAAAGAUUAACAUAAUAACAUAGUCUAUAAUUAUGGAAAAAAGUUUAACCUUUAAGAUUAAAAAAAAUUAUUUUUUGUUUAAGUAGCUUUUGAAUACAAAAAAAUUUUAUUAUUUUUUAAUUUAAUAAUUUAAGUUCUAUAUAAAUAAAGUUAAUAUAAAUAUUUUACCUUUAGUAUCAGGGUAAAUUAAAAAUUAAAAAUAAAUUUUAUUCCCGAAUAAAAUUAUAUAUAAAUAAAAGUAAAUAAAUUUUUGUUUUAAAAAUAUUUUAAACUUUUAUUUUGAAGCUAAAUGUUUACAAUAUUUUAUAUAUCUGGUUAAUUUUAAAAUUAAUUGAAUUAAUUUUAAAAUUUAAUAAAUUAAUAAAAAAAUAUUAAUUAUUAAAAAAAUAUUAUCUUGGUUAAGCAAAAUAAUAUAAAAUCAUUUAAAUAUUUUUUAAUUUAAUAUAUUAUUUAUAUAAUUAAACUUAGAAUUUAUUUUAUUUUCUUAAAUUAAAAAAAUUAAUUUUUUAAUAAAUAUUUUUUAAUUAAAAUGAUUUUAUAAGUAAUUAUAAAAACUUUUUUUUUAGAAUUAAGCAAAUAUUUUAAUCAAAUGUUUAACAAAAACAUCUCUUAUCUUUGUUAUGAUAAGUAUAACCUACCCGGUGAUUAAUUUUAAACGGUUAUAUAAUAAUACUAAGGUAGCGUAAUAAAUUGUCAUUUAAUUUAUGAAUAUAAUGAAGGUUUAAUGAAUUAAAAACUGUUUUAAAAAAACAAAAUAAAAUUAAUAAUUUAGUGAAAAAGCUUAAAUUUUUUUAAAAGACGAUAAGACCCUAUAGAACUUAUUUUAAACAAAAAAUUUACUGGGGAAGUAAAAAUAAAAUUAAAACUAUUUUUUAUUAAAUAAACUUUUAGUUUAUAAUAACCAAUACUUAUUGAUUAAAAAGUUACCUUAGGGAUAACAGCAUUAAUAAUAUAUAAAGCACUUAUUUUAAUAUUUUUUAAUGACCUCGAUGUUGAAUUAAGAUAAAUUUAUAAAGUAAAAAUUAUAAUAUAUUAGGUCUGUUCGACCUUUAAAAUUCUUACAUGAUUUGAGUUCAAACCGACGUGAGUUAGGUUGGUUUCUAUCUUUAAAUUAAUUAUUUUUAUUAGUACGAAAGGACCAUAAAAUUUAUAUAAAUAUAAAUUUUUAUACU